rnacentral:rRNA from 1 species
AGCCAUGCAUGUCUAAGCACAUGCCUUAAUACGGUGAAGCCGCGAAUAGCUCAUUACAACAGCCAUCGUUUACUAGAAAAUCGUUAUCCUACUUGGAUAACUGUGGCAAUUCUAGAGCUAAUACAUGCAAAAAAGCUCAUACCGAAAGGUACUGAGCGCAUUUAUUAGAAUAAAAACCAAUCGGGUCUAAAAGCCCGCUCUUUGGUGAAUCUGAAUAACUUUGCCGAUCGCACGGUCCUAGUACCGGCGACGUAUCUUUCAAGUGUCUGCCUUAUCAACUUUCGAUGGUAGGUUAUACGCCUACCAUGGUAGUAACGGGUAACGGAGAAUAAGGGUUCGACUCCGGAGAGGGAGCCUGAGAAACGGCUACCACAUCCAAGGAAGGCAGCAGGCGCGCAAAUUACCCACUUCCAGAACGGAGAGGUAGUGACGAAAAAUAACGAGACAGUCCUCUUCGAGGUCUGUCAUCGGAAUGGGUACAAUUUAAAUCCUUUAACGAGGAUCUAUUGGAGGGCAAGUCUGGUGCCAGCAGCCGCGGUAAUUCCAGCUCCAAUAGCGUAUAUUAAAGUUGUUGCGGUUAAAACGCUCGUAGUUGGAUCUGCGGCCUGGGAGAACGGUCCCCCGAAAGGGUGGUAACUGUUACUCUUAGCCUAAAUUUUUAGUCUACUCUAUGGUGCCUUUAACCGGGUGCUUAGAGUGACUAGAACGUUUACUUUGAAAAAAUUAGAGUGCUUAAAGCAGGCGAAAUCGCCUGAAUAAGGUGCAUGGAAUAAUGGAAUAGGACCUCGGUUCUAUUUUGUUGGUUUUCGGAACCUGAGGUAAUGAU